ensembl:snRNA U4 U4 spliceosomal RNA
AACUUUGUGCAGUGGUAGUAUCGUAGCCAGUGAGGUUUAUCCGAGGCGCAAUUAUUGCUAAUUGAAAACUUUUCCCAAUAUCCCGCCAUGACGACUUGAAAUACAGUCGGCAUUGGGCAAUUUUUGACAGUCUCUAUGGAGA